rnacentral:rRNA from 1 species
AUGGCCGCAGCUUCUUUGGAUCCUCCCGAUCCACUUGAUUACAUGUAUGUGAGAUUCCAUUACUUUGGCUAUUUUGAGAGGAAGGAUGGACAAGUUGAUUACUCAGGAGAGCUACAAGCAGAGAUGUUUAUUCCAAGAGACAUGCUAAGUUAUGCAGAAUUGUGUUUAUAUGCUGAAGAUUUGCAUAAAGUAGAAAGAGGUCACUGCAAAGGAAACUAUACCUACAAGCUCCAUUGGUUAGUUCCAGGGGGAAACCUGUCAAAUGGACUUCUUUUUCUGCAAGACAAUGAUUCAGUUGCACAAGUGGACAAUGCAAUUUCAUACGGUGAUUCUGCUGACAUUUAUGUGGAGGAAUUGGAGCAUGUAGAUGAGUCUGGUCUGCACAUUAUGGAAGCAAUUCAAGAGCAUUUUGAGUAG